UUUUUUCUACUUGGAUAACCAUAGAAAAUCUAGGGCUAAUACAUGCAAAAAAACCUGACUUUUUGGAAGGGUUGUAUUUAUUAGAUGAAAAACCAAUGCUGGGCAACUAGCAGUUUAAAUAGGUGAUCCAUAAUAACUUAAACGUAGCGUAUGAUCUUUGUAUCGACGCAAAUACAUUCAAAUUUCUGCCCUGUCAAAUUGUUGUCUGUGUAGUGUACAGACAAGUUGACAACGGGUGACGGGACAUCAGGGUGUGAUACCGGAGAGUUAGCAUGAGAUUUGGCUAACACUUCCGAGGAAGGCAGCAGGCGCGAAAAUUGUACAAUACGAAUUCCGUGAUACAGUGACGAGCAAUAACAAUGCUGAUAGGGUAAAACUUAUUAGUAAUUGGAAUGAGUACGAGUUAAAUCUCCUAACAAGGAACAAUUGGAGGGUAAGUCUGGUGCCAGCAGCCGCGGUAAUUCCAGCUCCAAUAUGCUAUAUUAAAUUUGUUGCAGUUAAAAAGCUCGUAGUUGGAUUUAGGAUAGAUAAAAUUUAUAUGAUAUUGUGUCUACUGUUGAUAGUGUGUACGCAAUAUCAAUCUAUCUUUAUGAUAAAAUACAUCCUUAUGCUCUUUAUUGAAUGUGAGGUUAUGUUUUUAUCUUUUUACUUUGAGAAAAUUAGAGUGUUUAAAGCAAGCUUUUUAUUUUAAUGCUUUGAAUAGUUUAGCAUGGGAUAAUAAAAUAUGACUCGUAUUCUAUUUUAUUGGUUUUUUAGAAUUAAAAGUAAUAGUUAAAAAGGUUAAACUUUUUAAUCAUUAUCGAGUAAUGAUAAAUAGAAAUAGUUGGGGGUGUUUGUAUUUCAUUGUUAGAGGUGAAAUUCUUGGAUUUUUGAAAGACAAACAAAUGCGAAAGCAUUCAUCAAGAAUACUUUCAGUUUGACAAAGAACGAAAAAUAGAGGAUUAAAGAUGAUCAGAUACCGUCGUAAUUCUAUUUAUAAACUAUGCCGACCAGAGAUUAGAGAGUGUGAUAAAGUCUAGGGAAACUUAGAUGAAUCCCUUUUUAGAAUCUUGAGAGAAAUCAUUGAGUGUUUGGGUUCUGGGGGGGGAGUAUGGUCGCAAGGCUGAAACUUAAAAAGG
rnacentral:rRNA from 1 species